rnacentral:rRNA from 1 species
UACGUAGGGUCCAAGCGUUGUCCGGAUUUAUUGGGCGUAAAGAGCUCGUAGGCGGUUCCGUAAGUCGGAUGUGAAAACUCGGGGCUCAACCCCGAGACGCCAUCCGAUACUGCGGUGACUUGAGUCUGGUAGGGGAACACGGAAUUCCUGGUGUAGCGGUGAAAUGCGCAGAUAUCGAGAGGAACACCUGCGGCGAAGGCGGGUUGCUGGGCUGACACUGACGCUGAUGCGCGAAAGCCAGGGGAGCGAACGGG